UGCAUCACCGGAAGUUGUUAACGGUCAGCAGUCUGUAAUUGCAGCUUGUGAUCACAGCUGUUGCCUUAUUAUCUUUUAAAAUUUUUAUUAUUCUCAUAAAGAGUUCGUUUAAUGUACUAUUCAGCGAUGGCACUGGCAAAAAAAAGGGGGGAAUUUGGAGCGCCAAGAGAAGCAUUCGUAAACGAUACACGGGAGCUACGAUGGUGACGUUGAUGCACUGAAGACGCUGCGAAAGUGCGACCGAUGUCGCCGCGUCAGGUCUCGAUUAAGAUGUACCUCAAAUUACGACGGGAACGGAUUCUGCAAUGGCAGCAUCCUUUCUCACUUCCAGGCGAUGAACAAGGGAGGCUCAUAACAUCAAUCAACGCUUGAAAAGCCAAGCCAUCUGGUGAAGUGGAAUUACAUUAGCCAUGCACAUAUACGCUCCUUCUGCUCCCUGCUGCCUCGGUGCCGUUCUCAAGCUGACAGGAAGGAAGCACUGAUUCCUGGGAGGUGGCAGCAUCAUAAAUCUACAGCUUAUUCACGGGGCCAAGCCGACCUUUACUGCGAGAGCCAAAACACAAGGUGACACAGCGAGAGAAGACGGAUGGCGAUGGAGCGCAAGGGAUGGAAAAAAACCCCAAAGAAGAAUAGAAGGCCAGUCACGUGUGAUGGACUUAAAGCUCGUCUGCGUCCGACACCUUUUGCGGUAAGAGAGAAACCGGUGGUGGCGUCCGCUC